rnacentral:lncRNA from 1 species
CUAGGAGGAGACACUGACAUACAUCAGCUUAAUAAAUUUGACAGUGAGGAGGGGCAGUGUGUGUGGUUUCAAUUACAGAUUGACCCAGGAUUGAUUGAACUGUCUGCUCGGCUCUGGUAGUGAUGGAGCCCGAGGAUUGGCUGGACUCUGCCAAGAGUAUGACCCACCUCGUGAGAUUUUAGGGAAGAAAGACCAUAGUGAUUGCAUCUAUUAAGAAGCCCUUACUGACCUGCAUGGUGAGGCUCGUGUGAAAUUUCAGCAUGCGGGAGAUUGAGACAGAAGGAUCACAAGUUCAAGGCCACCCUAGGCUAUGUAUCAAGAACUUUUUUUGAACAAAGAAAAAAGAAACGGCAGUACAUAAUUUCUCCUAAGUCCAUGGUAAUUUGUUACAGUAGCCCCAGAGCUCUCCUUGCAGAUGAAGUAGAAGCCUGGGUCUAAAGAGACUUUGGGUAAGUAGAGUCACAUUCAUUCCCUUGGGAAUAGAUAUUGAAUGACCAUGACGGUCCAGACACAGGAGCUGUGAACAAGGAUGGUGGCAUCCCUGAUUACACUGGGAUGGGAGUGGAGAACAGGUAUUACACAGAGAAUAUCUUACUCACUGUUCGAUUCCUGUGAAGAGACACUAUGACCAAGAAAACUCUUAGAAUGGAAAGCAUUUAAU